CGAGGACUUGAGUCGCAACAACGUCAUCACCAACGUGUACAAGGUCCAGAUGAGUCGGCUCACUUCGAAGUACAACGACUCGAUCACCCAGGCUCCGUCGGCAAAUUGGAAAAACUGAACGCAUGCGAAUAAAGCCAUCCUUGUCUGGUUGAGAGAGGGAGGGAGUGAGCUCACCUUUCUUUGACGAGGCAAGGCGAAAUUGAAGACGGCAAUCACAGCGAACAGAGUGGGACACACAUACAAGAAGAAUAUGAGGUAAGUCCGGGUGUACCACGACAUUGAAUGAUCUAGAGGAGCAAACAAAUGAUGAUAAUACGAGCUGUCUCGAGAGGAAAUCGGCCAAAGAAAGGAACCGAGAAGGCAGGAGUCAACCAACUCACUGAAUGCAUCCAAGAGCGUGGCGAUCAUGGUGACCAGGACGAAGGCCGUGAUGGCCGCGGCCAACUGAAUUACCCAAGAAUAGCCCAAUUGUCGAAUGUAGACCUCCUUGGACACCCCUAAAAGCAC